GACGAACGCUGGCGGCGUGCUUAACACAUGCAAGUCGAACGGAAAGGCCCUGCUUUUGUGGGGUGCUCGAGUGGCGAACGGGUGAGUAACACGUGAGUAACCUGCCCUUGACUUUGGGAUAACUUCAGGAAACUGGGGCUAAUACCGGAUAGGAGCUCCUGCUGCAUGGUGGGGGUUGGAAAGUUUCGGCGGUUGGGGAUGGACUCGCGGCUUAUCAGCUUGUUGGUGGGGUAGUGGCUUACCAAGGCUUUGACGGGUAGCCGGCCUGAGAGGGUGACCGGCCACAGUGGGACUGAGAUACGGCCCAGACUCCUACGGGAGGCAGCAGUGGGGAAUAUUGCACAAUGGGCGGAAGCCUGAUGCAGCAACGCCGCGUGCGGGAUGACGGCCUUCGGGUUGGAAACCGCGUGCGCCUGUGACGAAGCGUGAGUGACGGUAAUGGGUAAAGAAGCACCGGCUAACUACGUG
rnacentral:rRNA from 1 species